GAUGAACGCUAGCUACAGGCUUAACACAUGCAAGUCGAGGGGAAACGACAUCGAAAGCUUGCUUUUGAUGGGCGUCGACCGGCGCACGGGUGAGUAACGCGUAUCCAACCUGCCCACCACUUGGGGAUAACCUUGCGAAAGUAAGACUAAUACCCAAUGAUAUCUCUAGAAGACAUCUGAAAGGGAUUAAAGAUUUAUCGGUGAUGGAUGGGGAUGCGUCUGAUUAGCUUGUUGGCGGGGUAACGGCCCACCAAGGCGACGAUCAGUAGGGGUUCUGAGAGGAAGGUCCCCCACAUUGGAACUGAGACAUGGUCCAAACUCCUACGGGAGGCAGCAGUGAGGAAUAUUGGUCAAUGGGCGAGAGCCUGAACCAGCCAAGUAGCGUGCAGGAUGACGGCCCUAUGGGUUGUAAACUGCUUUUAUAAGGGAAUAAAGUGGGAGUCGUGACUCCUUUUGCAUGUACCUUAUGAAUAAGGACCGGCUAAUUCCGUGCCAGCAGCCGCUGUAACAC
rnacentral:rRNA from 1 species